rnacentral:rRNA from 1 species
GACGAACGCUGGCGGCGUGCCUAACACAUGCAAGUCGAGCGAUGAAGCCUUUCGGGGCUGAUUAGCGGCGGACGGGUGAGUAACACGUGGGUAACCUGCCUCAUAGAGGGGGAUAGCCUCCCGAAAGGGAGAUUAAUACCGCAUAACAUAUUUUGAUCGCAUGAUUGAAAUAUCAAAGGAGUAAUCCGCUAUGAGAUGGACCCCGCGGCGCAUUAGCUAGUUGGUGAGGUAACGGCUCACCAAGGCGACGAUGCGUAGCCGACCUGAGAGGGUGAUCGGCCACAUUGGAACUGAGACACGGUCCAGACUCCUACGGGUGGCAG